GCGCCGGCACCUUGCCUCCCCCCGUCCUGAGCGGAAUGGUUUCACCGAGCCGCCGGAUCAGCUGGGAGCGGCUUGUACCAAAGCUCAGCCGCGGGGAGGUGGGGGGGCACAGGAUUGAGAAGGGGCUGGAACUCGGACAGAAACAAGUUUGGAAGGCGCCUACAGACUCGAGAAGUGCCCCAAGUGUCCUGGCUGCAAAGUGCUGCAUACAGCACUUGUCCUGUUUUCUCAGAAACCUUGGAGUUGUUUCUCUCUGCAAUGCUAUCGUCAGAUUUGAGUAGGAAGAAAAGCACUGAAUCAAGAUAAUCAAUAUCAAGAAAACCUGAAUAUCUGAGGUUUUUAGGCCUUGCUCUUGGCUUUUAUUUUGUCCUGACUAUUGUUAUAUAUGGCUUUGCCUGAAAAAAAAUCAAUAGGAAUUAGAGAUACAUGUCAAGGAUCCCUGUCUCAUCCUUUACUGAAUAUUCUUGCACCUGGGGCAGAAGAUAAAGAGGAAGGAAGGGUCUGGAGCAUGAGCUCUGAGAGGAGGAUGUGGCAAGGUUUGGGUUGACCUCUUGUCCCACAUAACUAAUGCUAGAAUGAAAGGUGAUAGCCUCAAGUUGCACUGGAGGAGGUUCAAUUUGGAUAUUAGGAAGAAUUUCUUCUCGGAAAGUAAGUGGUGAGGCAUUGGAACAUGCUGCCUGGGAAGGUGGUGCAGUCACUGUUCCUGAAGGUGUCCAAUGUGUGGAUGUGGUACGGAGGUACAUGGUCAGUGGGCAUGGUGGGGAUGGGUGGUGGUUGGACCAGAUGAUCUUAGAGGUUUUUUCUAACCUUAAUGAUUAUGAUUCUAUGAUCCUGUUGUUUAUUAUCCCUGAUGUAAAAUAUUAGUCCAGUUCAGCAGAAACCCAUGCUUUCUCUCUAAAGCUUCCCAACACUACAGCCCUGGCUGCUGACAUUUGCACUGCAAUAUCACCCAAAAUUGAUUUGUGAGGGCCUAAACAGUGUGGUAAUAGGACAUCAACAGCACUGCUGGUCCAUGAUAGCCCUGCCACUGCUGAUGCUAUUGGAAGGAUUGCAGAGGUGACAGCAGUGAAGGACAUUUUAAAAAUAUGAAAAACAUUGAAGGUCUGUGAAUAUAUUGGUCCAUAUGGACCCUCACUUGUGAAAGGCAGAGUAUUAGUUUAGUUUUGCAGAUUGGAUUAAGAGGAAGCAACAGUGUGCCUUGCCAUUCCUCUGAUUAGGAGAGGUUUAUAUGUCUGCUCUCUUUCUUAAAAGCUAAAUUUAUCAUUAGCUGUCUUGGCAAGGGAAAUUGGAAUGAAAUUUCAAGCUAUUAACUUUUAACAGAUAAAUUUACUUAUUGACCCCUUCCAUAAAGAGGAGCAGAGGAGACAGCCACACUGCAUCAGAUCACAAGUCCACUCAGCCCAGCAGCUGGUAGCAGAGUGGCAGUGGUAAAUGCGUCAGUGUAAAUGUCAGAACAGACUGUCCGUGCCUUGCCUGGUUCUCCUCCCCAGCCUCUAGCAAUCAGUGCUUGAAAAGCUUCCUGUUUCGCUAAUCUAGGAUUUAUUUCUAAGACUGAACCUUCCAGCAAAAGCUGCAGAAUGAGGAAGAUUUUCAAUGAUGUGUAACACUGUGAGAAGUAGAGAAAAUGGGAGCAUUUGAGCAAUGUCUUGUUUAUAUCAGGCAGGGCAGGAAGGCUGCCUGCUGCCGCGCUACCAACUGACUGGCCUUGACCCCUUCUUUUUCUCUGCCACAGCAAAUUCCAAGCAAUGAAGUCCUGGAGAUUUCCAAUCACAGCUGUACAAGUAGUCAGUCUUGUCAGCUGGUGGUGAAGGGAUCCAUUUACCUUCGUGACAAUUAGAAAAAAAAACAUGCAAGUGAAGAAAGACAAAUUUAUUUCUAAGGUAAAGGAGCAUCAAAAGUUUGAAGGUGGUAUCCAGUGAUGAUGUGUUCCUGCAGCUCCAAGCAGAAAGUUGCAAAGGUCGCUGUUUGUGUUGGUGCUCUUACCUUAUGUUUCUGAAAUCUUUUUCCACUGUGGUCAGAGAACCAGCAAUUUUCACUAACACUUCGUGAUGAAUAGGCUAGCAGAGGAAAGAGUGGGUGAGGGCAUUUUCAUUCUUGUUAUCCUCACUGGAACUCCCUCUGAAACCUUACCUCUCUUUGUCUUAUGAACAAUGCCUAUGUCCACGGUGUACAAGCUCUCCUCUCCCACCAUCCUUUAGUAACUCAACAGCUGUAGACUGGAGCUGAGGAUUCACUACCAAAUAGAUAGCGGAGCUAAAAAUGAGCACAAAGGUGAUCUGAACUAAAUCUUUCAAAGCUUUCAGACCAUGGUGCUUUGAUUAGCGAGCAGACAAGAAAGCUCUGUACCCUCACAACCUCAUCCUGCAACUAACUGCUCUUCUAGGCCAGGAGUCUUACAUGAGCAGAAAUUGGGAAGAUUGUUAUCCCUUAUCUCUCAUCAAACUUUGUCAUCAGUUUUGAAUGUGACAUUUAGUAAUGUAGCAACGGUAGAGCAUAAAGGAAAUUAAAAAAAAGGAAAAGACGAAAAAACCCUCUCAGACUCCACAUAAGAAUAGCUUCUGCCAUUUCCCUUUUGUAUCCACUGCUGAGGUAUUUGAAAAGAGCAGGAGAUAAGUAGCCUUAUGACUACGACAGAUCAGCAGGUACCAAACGCGGAUUGCUACUGCUGGCACUAUAAUGGCUAUUGAAAUUCAUAUUUACACAGACAUUUCCACGGUGGCACUGCAAAGAGGGGGCUGUAGAAUAGGCUAUCAACCAUAAAUGAUGCAACCAUGCUUCGUAACACCAAGAGCAAAAACCCUGUCACUGCUAAGUGACACUGACCAGUUCCUGCCAUUUGGAGAUCCUCUCUGUCUUCAGAUUAUGGAUCUUCCUCAGAGACAAAGGACAUGCUUCAGCUUGGAAAGUUCCUGCCAGAGGCAUUCUGCAGAGAAGUGAACGGAUGUCCCUGAUGUGCAACAGAGUGACAAACUGCCACAAGGUGUCUGCUAUGCUGCCAUGUUCUCCAAGGCAGCUCAGGGGCUCAGCUCUGCAUGGUGAGCCAGUGGAGGCAGCUCAGGGGCACAAAGCUCUGGAAUGUGAGAGACUCAGAAACAGCUGCAUCAGGGCUGCAUGAGGACAAGGGCAUUACUAAUUCUCAGACACAAUCUGUGAUGAAAAUCAUGAAGCAUUCUGCAAGUGAAUUCAGUUCUCCCGAUUUCUGGACUUGUGAGAUACAGGGCUGAAAACAAAGACGUUCAAACCUUGAGCUAAAUAGAAGAGGAAGAAGCCAAAAUCUGUGCCAGAGGUUUGACUGCUGGGUUUACUCAUAGCUUCAGGUCACUUUCACGGGGCUUGGUCUGCUGGGGGGAUUUUCUGAGAAGCAUUUGAAUGGCUGAAGACCUACAGUGCUGACCCCCGACCUGAGCAAGGUUUGCUGCUUGCAGUAUUCCUGGAAUGACACAGGAGCUCCUGCUGGAGUCAGGCCAGGACAUUAAACAAAGCUGAUUUUGAGGGCAAGAGGACAGAUCUCCUGCAAAGAGAUACUGAUCACUCUGCAGCAUUUGACUCUGUUGACCGUGAAUCCUUGCCGGGCCCCAUGAGGAGAGGGGCUGCCAUCUGGAGUGAAUGAUUUGGUGGGACAAAGCUGGUUUGGAGAGAUGUGAACAUAUGCCCCAUGGCUAAUUGUGGUGCUGUCCCACAGGGACCAAUGCUUUUCCCUUUUCUGCUGACCUACCUGGGCACAAAGUCACUGUCCCUGGAAGUGUUCCAGA